UCAAAUUUACAGACUGACUUCUUUCCUUCAAGUUGAUAUGAUAAUUAUGAUUCCUAUUAGGGGGUAAUUGUUUAGGUUCCUGGAAGACCCCAGUAAAUUUUUCAAGUAUGGCAUCUAACUCAUGUCCUUGUGGAAAUUCAUCAUUUUCAUUCCUUACAGAGUCAUCUUGGUUGCUAGUAAUGGCAUCCUUGACCUGGUUAUCAUAGACCAUUC
rnacentral:lncRNA from 1 species